CGAUCCGGUUCAAGUAAUCCAGGAUAGGCUGUGUGUACGCAGGUUGGCCUAUUCGUGAUUACUUGCACUGGAAG
rnacentral:pre_miRNA from 13 species